CUGCCUGCCAUCUGGCUUUGUUGGGAAGAGAAAAGAAACGGGGCUUCCGGCAGCCUGUUGGUGACACCGCAGCAGUGUGGCUCACGCCAAACCUAGCGUCUAUGGCAUGGGGGACCCAGGAGACGCGAGACAUAAGCUAGUGUCAUGUGAUAGGAUGGCCAGUGUAUUUAAAAAGCCUCUAAGACCCUCCUGAGGACUCUGCUAACUGUCCAAACAGAGCCACUUAUUUUUUUUUCUUUCCUGAAUUGGUUCCAGUCAGCUGAACCGCACCAUUUCCCAGCCUCUCUUCAAGAGGGGGCACUGCGGCAGGCCUGGCCAGUGGGGAGCGGCUCGUGUCUGCAAGAAUGAGGACGGCCGUAAGCUUUGCCGUCUUCUCCUCCAGACUUUGCUUCCAUUCUUGCCACAGCCUUGGCACCCCCCCCCCCCCAGGAGGGUCACUAUAGCUGGAGCUGGAGUUCCAGGAUGAAAUGACCAAGACUGGUGGGACAGAAUGGAGAAGCCUGAACCCCACGAGCUCCGAGGAGCCACGGCAUCAUCCUCGAACAUCUCUGGCCUUGUGCCUGUCGUAGCCUGCCUGCCUUCUGGAAUUUGCCUCUUCCCCACUGUGUGUGGUCCUGGUGGCGGGGAAUUCUAGAAUUCUGCCUCCCAUUGUGAAAGCCAAAGGGCCAACUCCAACUCCCCAUGUCUCCUGGGUCCCACUGGGGAACAAGAACGUGCCUCGACCUCUCUUCCGGGAGCGCACAUCUGCUGAAAGUCACGCAGAAUGUCAGCCAAGCUUCUGGGUUGCCAGCAACAGAAUCCAGCUUAGCCAGUUUGGAGUAGGCAUGGAUUUAUUCCAUUGAAGGUGAGAAAGAUCACAGGCCCAAUGGGAAGAAUGGCAGAUGGGCAGCAGCAAGCCAGCCAAGCCAUAACUGUGAUCUUAGCUGAAUAGUCAUCAGGACACCAGCCCAUGUGACUAUAUUCAGGAUGCUACCUUGCUUCCAUGCUGGGCACAGCAUGGUCAUUCUUCCAACUGGUGGCUGCGACUGCAGCUACUCUAGCAUCCUGCCACCUACACAGAAGUACCUUGACACUAUUCUAUGACACUGCCUGCCACCUGUUUCCCAGGUGACAUGUAACUGACCCAUACAUUCAUGUGUCUGUGUCCAACUUCUGAGGAUGCUGGGACCUUGCAUUACAGAAUCCUACAGUAAAGGAUGCUAGGAUCUACAGCUACAUCCACAGUGGAAGCAAUGACCUAGCCACUUGUCUGCAAAGUUUUACGGCAGGAAAUUCAUCAAGCCCGGAAAGGUGACAGAGAAGCAAGGAGAGUGAUAAAAAGCCACGGAAUCCAGAGACAGAGACUGCUGGAGCUCACCAGCAGCAGCAUACAGAUCACUUGCUCCCUGCUGUCUGUGGUGCUCACACUACUGACCUAGGUGUUCAGAAAGGCCCAGGCUCCCACCCUCACCAAGUCUACUCCUCUAAGUUCCUGUCAAUUCUCCAAGCUCCCAACAUCCUGCCAAUAAAUUCCUUUUCGCUGAAGUUAGCCAGUGUUAGUGUCUGCCGCCUGCAACCCAGCAACGCUAGCAAAAGCGUGAGUAAACAUGAGUACUCACUGCUUAUAAAAUGCCAGGCCUCCCGAUAAGGCAGCAGGCCCCUCGAUCUCUCCCCCAGUAGCCUCUCCCUGGGGAAGCCAAGAGGGCCAGCUGUGAAGAAUCUUCUAACUGCCUGCCAGGCCUCAACCCAGACCAAGGAGCCCCAGGAAGUACUACCGUAGAUAACGACCCAGCUGAUCGCACCUAAACGUCUCCCCUCUUAAACCAGGCCAUCAGGACGUGUGCUACCAGACAGAAAACGCAUUUCUGAUUAAACCGCCAUACCCUAACACAAAGGGUUGAAUGGAAAGCUACACUUCCGUCGUUGGUUUGAGAUGUGGAGAAGUGUGAACCAGAAGAGAUGCGCCAUGGUUAAAAAAAUAACAGCUCCCUUAUUCUGCCCCAGCUAGGGGCCAGCCAACCGCUCAGAAGCCCUGCUCAUGUGACUUAAUUCGUUGCUGACUUCCCUCCAUAAUUUCUGGAGAUUGAAAUAUAAUUACCAUAUUUUCUGGAUGAGCAGACUGAAGAGUGCAUGGGUCAGAUUGUUUUCUCUGAGUUACAAAUCAGCAAGGGACGGACAUAGAAUUCAGAGAUUCUGUACCUACAGCUUGCUCUCUUUCUGCCGAUUCCACGAUGUCCAACGUAUGUCUGUGUACAGGAGACCGCCAGCGUGCAACCGCGGAGUUCCAUCCCUCUGAUUUGUCCAGCUUCCCUCCUCAUCGCCCAAAGCUUCACUCUACCCUCUGAGGAACUUUGUUUCUGUCCUCUUAGCACGCCACAGCACUAACUCUACUGUGAGUUUCUGGAAGAGGCAAAGCAUUUUAAAUCCUUGCCAUGGUGUGUGCCUCAGGACAGCCAGGGCUAUAGGCAGCUCGGGGACUUCUUGGGGCUUUCCAAAUGGCCAUCCCCAGCACCUAUCCAGGUCUGCCUUCCCACAAUCCACCCUACACCUUUCCAUCUGAAUGAGAGCAGAGGCAGAAGGCAAGGGUUCACUUGAUGCUCAGGUCUAAGCCAAUCACUUGUUUUCCAGCUAGAAAGUGGGGAAGGAUGCAGCUGGGAGCUGUGACUCAGUCUAAAGGUACACAUACCUCUGGGACAUGUGGCAUGAGCUGUACUACAUGGAGGGAAACCUCAGACACAUCACCCAUGCACAAUAGGACAGCAGGUCGGUCCCAAUCAGGGGCCGUGGCCACUGUGUUCUAAUGUCAAUGUUCCCUCUUACUGUCUCCUUAUCUACUAGUGAGAGCAGCCAAGUAAAACUAGAGUCUCUGCCAUCUGAGACCUGGGUCUAGACCAUCCUGGUCUUCCAGAAUUCUAAUGGAAAUGACUUGUUUGGUGGGGUAUGACUCAGAGACCACAGGAGUAGCUGAACUAAACCAAAGGGUCCCUGGUAGGAGAGGGAUUCCCUGAUUCAGUGACUCAACGAGAUUGCCAGAAUCACUGGGACAUCCACUCAGGGGAACAGGAGAGGGUGUGUGUCAGCUCAGAAUCCUGCCUGGCACUCUGGGGACAGACAAGGGUGAUUUUCAGGUUGUCAAGAAUUAGGAAGAGCAGGAAAGAAUUCAGCAGAGGUUUCUAAAAGAAAGACUCCCUCCUAGUCAGCGUGGCGUGACGGAUAAGAAUUUUACUGACUCCAGACACUGGGUGCUGCAGACGUGAGUCUAAAAGCGAAUGGCAAGUCGGGAGAGCUGCAGAGAAUCGGGGAUCUGAGCAGAUGGCUGGGGAUCUCCACAGCUUGGGGGUAAGUUGCAUAGGCGAUCUCCUGGUUGUAUGUGGAUCUCUCCCUUUUGGCUUCUUUUGCUUCUCCAGAGCUGGCCCAACCGCAGCAAGCUCUGUGGCACACAACAAGCCUAAUAGCUUCACAGCAAGGAGAGCCUUGACAGAGACAAAUGAGACUCAAUGUCAGUCAGGCUGCACCACCUGGGAGUCUCUGCACCCCUGCCACCCAGGACCAGCCUCACCCCUGCACUCUCAUUAGAUAAGCUGGGAUAUCCUCAGGCCAGAAUAAUGUGCACAACCCCUGCCCGAACCCGAGUGUCAUUAUGACAACUCUCACUUGAAAUUAUUUGUUUUUUCUAUUGAUCUUGAUUCGACACUGGAAAAUGUAUUCUUUGUACAGCUUUCCCAAGGGCUUAAUUUGUCCAUGUUGGAAGCCUUUUUUUAAUAGGAUUCUGCUCCGUUGUUUAUUCUGAACAUUGAGUUCUGAGAGUCAGGAUCCAGUUCCGUUAAUAGAACCUCAUUACCAGGAUCUCUCCACAUCAGAGAUCUGAUAGUGGCACGGUAAGCAAGAGGCUGCUGAGGGGACUCCAGGAGCUGUCAGAUCAAAGGCUCAUGGAGGCUACUCUGUCAUUGCCUCCCGCCACCCUCCUUCUAUCUGCAGACCUAUGGCAAUAACAGCCGUCGAGCAAGACAGCCCUGUGCAGACCUCAUCUCAGAAUGAGUGACCAAAGAAGCAACGUUUCUCAAAGUAUGACCUGUGGAACCCCAGCACCAGAGUCCCCUGAGAUGCCAGUGCAGAGGCAGGCUGCUAGGUCUCAGCAAAACUCCGCCUUGAGAUCUAAACCAACAGAGGGUCCUGCCGUGAGACCCACAUCUCAGCUCCUCAAAGGGACUUCCUUCUGUCCAAGAUGGGUCAGCUUGAUUGUCCACAUCUAAUGUUGGGCUUAAACCUCUUUGUGUGGAUCCCCUGUUUCCAUUCUUGCCUCUGUUCAGAGAUUGUCUGUACAGCCUAGCCCUACCUGCUGACUCCAGAAGUGGACCAGUGAUGCAAUGAGCUCCAAUCAUUCUUCCAUCGAGCAUCACCCAGAAGCCUAACCGGGUGUGCAGUGUUAGCCCGACAGUCUGGUGGAGGGAGUGCCCCCACCAGCUAGGGAAGUGUUCCCAUCACAGGAUUGCAGGGCACUGAGCCAGUGAGAUGGUGCUCACAUGAUUUUGAGUGGUUCCAAUGGUUUACACAGACAGUCUCCUCUCUGCAAAAAUAAAAUAAAUAAAAUGUGCUGGCCUGAAGUUCUGUGCAGCCUGGAGCAACUCUGCCAAGACCCAGCAAGACAAAAACCCCGAAUAUAGGGUCCAGAAUCACUGCAAUCUACUGGAGAUGUAGUGAAGAGCAGGUUGAAGAGGCAGCUUCACAUCAUCAAAACCAGGCUGGAGCCACAGUUGGCUGCUGGAGGACGAUGAAAGAGUUACGAACGCUUGCUGGACCUUACUUUGCACUCAUGAACGCUUUUGCUUCUAGAACAUUCUGUCUCCUUUCUGCAACAAGAAUCCGGACAGUCCUGCAGAGGUAAGUCCAGGACCAUGCGUAAGACUUUCUCAGACUCACACCUGGCACAGCAGGGGACGAAACACAGAAUCUGACAUUGUUUAGUCAUUCAAAUAUUGACUGAGAUUUAGCUUUGUGCCAGGCACCGUGCUCAGCACUAGUAAGAGAAUGAAACAAUUCAGUUCUUUGCCCUUGUGGGGAAAGACAGAUGUUUGACAGACAGACGACGGUUCACAGCCAUCCGUUUCCUUGCAGUGAUAGCUGGUCCUGUGUAGAGAACACACUUGUGCAUCACCUGAGGAGUUGGGAUUGGCUUCCAGGAGGAGGAGCCUGUUUUCUUGUGCCAUGGAGACCCAGUAAGACUUGUGAAACAAAGAGAAGCAAAGUGUGUGUCUUCUGCUAUAAGGGGUGCUUUCUCUCACUGCCCAGCCCUUUCCAAUAGUCAAUAAAGAUGAUUAACGUGACAGCUGCUUCACAUA